GGCUUGCCUGAGUGCAGUGGUGUUUACAAUUAAUUGACAACAAGUAACAGAUAUUUUUGUUCUUUCUCCAUUCCCAUUGCUUCAUUUGACUAGUUAAAA
ensembl:misc_RNA Y_RNA Y RNA